rnacentral:rRNA from 1 species
CCCUUCCUACGGGAGGCAGCAGUGGGGAAUAUUGCGCAAUGGGCGAAAGCCUGACGCAGCGACGCCGCGUGAGGGAUGAAGGUUUUCGGAUCGUAAACCUCUGUCAGAAGGGAAGAAACUACGUUGUGCUAAUCAGCAGCGUACUGACGGUACCUUCAAAGGAAGCACCGGCUAACUCCGUGCCAGCAGCCGCGGUAAUACGGGAGCCAGCAGCCGCGGUAAUACGGGAGCCAGCAGCCGCGGUAAUACGGGAGCCAGCAGCCGCGGUAAUACGGGAGCCAGCAGCCGCGGUAAU